CGCCGCUGCUGCACACGGGUCUUAGUACGCAGGCGCCGACUCCCCACUGACCAACCAAGCAGCCCUAUGACAGCCGCGCAGGCGUGCUAGCUCGAGCUACCGGGCAGCCCUUGCAGCUGCGCAAUACGGAUUCCCGCACUCCACACCCUCCGAAGGCAACGCCUGGGUCUCGACGCAUGCGUGUUUGGGAGUCCUACCCGCCCCUUCCACCUCAGACGUCGUCCCGACGCUGGGUGUUGAAAAGACCACGCCACUGGGCCGCCUGCCGCGCCGAGCACGCAUGCGCCUGGGCCGGCGCCCCGCCUCGGCUCGGGCUGGUGCACGGCUCCCGAGCACGUUUCCGAGCUUGCCGGCGAGCUGCGCGGCUCCUUUCCCAGCCGCUGUCUCAGCUCCACGCCUGCCCGGGAGACCGCCCUCCGUGGCAGCCCCUUCCUCCCUCUCACGUUAGCGAGGUCGCAUUGCCCCCGUCUCGGCUUGGCUAAACUUGACUCCAGACCUGUCGGGUACCAGCCACCAUCUUGUUUAAGCCCGAGUUAGUGUUGGACCCUGCGGCACUCAGAGAAGCUUUGCCACUCGAAAUCACAAAUAAAGAGAAUGGCGUAGCGUCCCUGUUCGCUCUCCCGCUGAUGUGUCCUCAGAAAUCAAACUCCGUACGAGGAGAGUGAGUGGCUCUGGCCCGGAAGGCACAGACCCGUGGUGCCAGGUAGUUGUUUAAAGACAGCACAUAAAGUUGGUCAUGGAAGUC